ACAGUAAACCCUUCCAGACGUGGAUUUGUUUCCACACGCAAAGACAAAUGCGAACAAUUAUUUGCCAGAUACGGAAAAUUUGAAUAUAUGGGGUGGGGGAGCACUCAUUUCUCCCACUGUGAUGGGGCAGGCUUGUGUAAGUGAGGAUGGCUGAGGGUGCUUCUGUUGCUGUGUGUUGCUGCAUAGCACCACCACAAAGGAUAGUCCUGGGGUGGUGUGGCUACUAACUGCAACUGCUAACUAGUCCUGGCCAUAACCUGUCAUCAUGGACCGCUGUAGAAAACUUCUCAUCCACUAUUGCUGUGUUCUCUUGUCGCCAUGUAAAAAUGCUUGUUUGUGAAGCCAUCACUUAGAAAUGGAUGUUGUAUAGUUGCCUGUUUCGAGUUUGUUGGCCAACAAUGGGUCUACAUGCCACAAUACUUUAGUUUCAUUCACUUCAAUUCAGUCUAAAACUCAACAUUACGUAUGUGCCUAAAUAUAAUUUUGGGCUUAUGCACGUUAAAAAUUCACCCUAGUUCAUUCAAUAAUAUCUUAUGGUGUAAUAUUCUGGGGGAGAUCGGCCCAUGCAAAACUCAUAUUUCAAAUACAGAAAAGAAUAAUAAGAAUUAUUACCAAUUCUCGUAAUGUGGACUCGUGCUAUAAUUUAUUUAAGGAGUUACAUGUACUGCCACUUCAAUCACAAUAUAUAUUUUCCUUACUUAUGCUGGUUGUCAAGAACAGAGAUUGCUAUAUAACAAAUUCUUAUGUCCACACCCAUAAUACCAGAUUUAAUCAUGACUUGCAUCUUCCGGUGGUAAACUCAACGAUAUUUCACAAACGUGGAUGGUAUUCUGGUAUCAAACUUUAUAACCAACUCCCUCCAGAGCUUACACAAUUAUCUUACAACAUCCCUAGAUUUAAAGUGGCGUUAAAGAAGUUUCUUAUCACCAAUUCCUUUUACACUGUUGAAGGGUACUACUGCUGGAAUAAAGAUUGAUCCUUCAUGUAUAUUUAAAUAAACACCGUUGCCUAUUGCUAGGAUGAAAUGGACUAUGGAAUAAAAUACACAGGAAAAAGGUACUAUUACUGUUGUGAUAUAGGUGUAUUGUAUAUUAAGAAAUAAGAUUUUAUAUGACUAUAUUAAGAGUCUUGGUGGUCUCUUGAUCACGUAUGUAAUAUUAUAUGUUUUUUUUAUAUAUGGAAUGUACUGUUGUACAGUAGUCUUGUUGUAUUGAGUAUUUAAAAUUUUGACGAUGAUGACUAUCUGAUUAUGUAUGUAUAUUCAUAUGUUAUAUUGUAUUGUUGACUU